rnacentral:lncRNA from 1 species
GAAAAAUAAAAACACAUUAUCUGUGCAACAAAAGCAUUCCUAGAAGGGGUUGUUAUGAUAAAUAGAACUCCAACUGGAGUGCCAUAUAGUCAAAGAAAAGUCUUAUAAAGCAAAAUACUGCAAGAUUUAUUUAUUCAAAAACUGUUGUUGAGCACAUUCUAUGUGCCAGGCACAGUGCUAAGCUUGGGACAACACGGGAAAAUAAAAUGGACGUUGUCCCUGCAUGCAUGUCCCUCCCCAGGCUUUUGGUGUGUAGAGAAAGUACCAUAACUGCCAAAUAAGUAAAUAGUUGAAUGGGGCCUUAGAGAUCAGUGUGACAAAAAACAAGUGUAGAUGUUAAUCCAUUUCAAAAUACUCUUCACAGACUUUCAGUAUUCCUAUGAUUUUCUGGAAAUGAGACAGGAAAUCAAAUAAUAUUUUUUUGAAGAGCUGAGGUCCAAUUUUCAAUAUGUAAUCCAGUUCUUUUCAGGAAGUGUUAAUCAUGUGAUUCCUAUUACCAUUAAAAACCGUCAUCAUCCUGUAAUACUGACCAUCUGUUUCAGAUAUGGCACGCACACUUGGGAAACCCAGAAUAAUGGGAACUCAAAACUGUUAUUCAUUCGAGAGCUCAUCAGUCCAAGAAGAUGCCACCUUGGUCAGAUGUGGAUGAGGCAUGACUGGACCGACCCUGUGGGCUCGGCACCCACCUGUGCUAUAAACUGUUCAUGUGAAAACUGUGUGCCCCUGGGUUGUCUGACCUGCAGCUGUACCGCACUUUUAGUACAAUGCCUGCCACCCACAGGAGUGUUGUCACAAUUGAAGUGAAUGCUAUAAAGCAUUGUGAGCAACUCAAAAGAAGGGUGCUGCUUAACUACCCAAAAUUACUAUACACCCACAGGUAAAGCUCUCUCUCUCUCUUUCUCUCUCUCUCUCGACACUCUUAAUAUGGUAAUAUAAAAGGGCAUUCCUCAGGGUACAUUUAAAUGUCUGUGUGUGUUUCAUUCCAUUUGUUAUUCAUUUUAACUUUUAAAUUAAUUAUUAUUUUCAGGAUGUUAUCCUUGCACUAAAGGAAACCUAUUAAUUUAAUGCUUCUAUGUCACUACUAUGGACUGAAUAUUUGUGUCCCCCCAAAAUUCAUAUGUUGAAAUCCUAACCCUCAAUGUGCUGCAUUGGGAGGUGUGGCUUUGGGGAGGUGAUUAUGUCAUGACGACAGAGUCCUCAUGAAUAAGAUUAGUGCCCUUAUAAAAGAGACCCAGAGAGCUCUUUCACCCCUUUCUGCAAUGUAAGGACAUAGUCAGAAGACCACAGUCUAUAAACUGGUAAGCUGGUCCCUACCAGACACUGAAUCUGCAUCUUAAUCUUGGACUUCCCAGCCUCCAGAACUGUGAGAAGUAAGUGUAGUUUAAGCCACCCAGUCUAUAGUAUUUUUGUUACAGCUGCCUGAAUGGAGUAAGACAGUCACCAUGUUUGAAAAAGAGACAUAUUUGGGUCUCUAGAAGCUGCCUGUCUGUUAAUUUAUGACUAAAAUUAAUUUGGUCAUGAUUUCCUCUCUAAAUCUAGAUUAUUUGGCCAUGUGUCAGAAACACAUGUUUGGGAAUUUAUUUGGCUAGAUGGCUUGGAUUGAAGCCUCAAAUUUUAAAAAGAAAGAAAAAAAGCACAACUAAACAGAAGCUAAUCAAUGUAAAUACCUGACAGCAUUGAAGCAGCCAGGGACGAUGGUGGCCUAAAGCAUCAUAGAUAGCUGUUUAGCUAUCUUUUUCUGUAUAGCUUGCUUUUACUUUUCCUUUCUUUCUUUUAUAAAAUAACAGCUUUAUUGAGAUGUAAUUCACAUAUCAAAAAUGCAUCCUUUCAACGUGUGCAAUUCAGUGUUCUUAGUACAUUCACAAAGUUGUGCAACCAUUGACACUAGUUCCAGAAUAUUUUCAUUACCCGAAAAAGAAGCCCUAUGCUUAUUUGCAAUUACCCCAUUCCCCCUUUCUGAGGCCCCUGGAAACCAUUAAUCUACUUUCUGUCUCUACAGACUUGCCUCUUCUGGACAGUUUAUAUAAAUGGAAUCAUACAUUAUGUGGAUUCUUUCAUUCAGUAUAAUACUUUCAAGGUUCAUCUAUCUUUUUUCCUUUUUAUGGCCAAAUAAUAUUCCAUCGUAUGGCUAUAACACACUCUGUUCAUCAGCUGAUGGACAUUUGGGUUGUUUCCACAUUUUAGCUACUAUUAAUCAUGUUCUGUGAACAUGAGUGUACAAGUUUUUGUGUAGACAUGUUUUCAGUGCUCUUGGGUGUAUACCUAGCACUGGCAUUGCUGGGCCAUAUGGCAACUCCAUGGUUAACUUUUUGAGGAACUGCCAAGCUGUUUUCCAAAGUGACUGCAUCAUUUGCAUUCUCACCAACGAUAAAUGAGGAUUCAGAUUUCCCCACAUCCUUGUCAACACUUUUUAUUGUCUAUCUUUUUGAUGAUAGAUGAUUUAAUGGAUGUGAAGUGGUUUCUUGUGGUUUUGGUUUGCAUUACCCUAAUAACUAAUAUGGUUGAGAAUCUUUUCAUGUGAUUACUAACCAACCUUUCUUUGUCUCUCCUUCACCCCUACUAUUCCCAGCCUCUGGUAACCAUGAAUCCACUCUCUACCUCCAUGAGAUCCACAUUUAGCUCCCACAUAUGAAUGACAGCAUGUGGUAUUUGUCUUUCUGUGCUCAGCUUAUUUCACUCAACAUAAUGACCUCCAGAUCCAUCCAAGUUGCUGUAAAUGAAAGCAUUGUAUUUUUUAUGGCUGAAUAAUAUUCCACCGUGUAUAUGUACCACAUUUUCUUUAUCCAUUUAUCCAUUGAUGGACACAUAGGUUGAUUCUAUAUCUUGGCUAUU